UGCACUGCAUGGUAUCUGCAUUCAGCAGUUUGUUCCUGCUGGGUGUUCAAAGAACAGUGCAAUAUAAAUUCAGUAUCUGGCAUCGUUGGUUUUCUUGGCUUUGUGCAAGUUAAGACCUGGUAUUUCUACUGAUACAGUA
ensembl:snoRNA